rnacentral:rRNA from 1 species
UGCGUAGGCGGCGCUAUUAGUCAGAGGUGAAAUCUUGCGGCUCAACCGUAAAAUUGCCUUUGAAACUGUAGCGCUUGAAUCACGUUGAGGUCAGCGGAAUGUGACAUGUAGCGGUGAAAUGCUUAGAUAUGUCAUAGAACACCAAUUGCGUAGGCAGCUGGCUAGGCGUGUAUUGACGCUGAGGCACGAAAGCGUGGGGAGCGAACAGGAUUAGAUACCCUGGUAGUCC